rnacentral:rRNA from 1 species
UACAGAGGGUGCGAGCGUUGUUCGGAAUCAUUGGGCGUAAAGCGCUUGUAGGCGGCUUGUUAAGUCGCGUGUGAAAUCCCUUGGCUCAACCAAGGAAGUGCGCGCGAAACUGGCGAGCUCGAGUGCCGGAGAGGGUCGCGGAAUUCCCGGUGUAGAGGUGAAAUUCGUAGAUAUCGGGAGGAACACCAGUGGCGAAGGCGGCGACCUGGACGGACACUGACGCUGAGACGCGAAGGCGUGGGGAGCGAACGGG